rnacentral:lncRNA from 1 species
GGUUGUCGUGGUAAUACUAUGAAAGUGUAGAUGGAUCACCAUAUAAGUUCAAAGAUGAAAAAGCCUGGAAGGAGGAGAAAUGACUGGAAACGAUUCGGUUGGCCGUUUUAUGUGUGGAUUAAUUGUCGGAGUAGAGGACCUUGUGCAUUUCAGAGGACCUGAGCUGUAGGACCAUGCCUCAGGACUACCUGGCCUGAUGACUCCUUGUUGUCCCCAGUCUACCCGGUGGUGCUGCUGCCCCAGUUUCAACUCUUCUGCCUGCGGCUAUGGAACCCUGACCUGUUCCCCGGACAUGCUACCUUGUCCCGGACCUGCUGUUUCGACUCUCUCUUUCUACCGCACCUGCUGUAUCUGACUCUGAAUGAUUGGCUAUGAAAAGCCAACUGGCAUUUACUCCUGUGGUGCUGACUGUAGCACCCUCUACAACCACUGUGAUUAUUAUUAUUUGACCCUGCUGGUCAUCUAUGAACGUUUGAACAUCUUGGCCAUCUACUAUUAUAAUCUCUACCCGGCAUAGCUAGAAGAGGACUGGCCACCCCUCAGAGCCUGGUUCCUCUCUAGGUUUCUUCCUAGGUUCCUGCCUUUCUAGGGAAUUUUAUUUGUGUCCCUGUCUUUGUCAAAGUGGGCACUGCUUAUCACAGGGCGGCAUCAGCUCUCACCUAAAAAGCUCAUAUGCCACUGGUUGAAAGAAAUUGUCAUUGUUUUUGGGCAGAAUUAUGUGAUGUUUUAUGUGUUGUUGGUGUGUCUUGGUCAGUUUAGCUCAGAAAAUGUUGUCCUGCCUAAUUAUUUGGCCCGGCCCUGCACUGACAGGCAGCGCACUGCCAAUGACAGAUCUGUUUCGUUGUGUGAAUAAAUAAAUUAAUACAUUUCUCUUUA